rnacentral:rRNA from 1 species
AACGUAGGACACGGAGCGUUAUCCGGAGUUACUGGGCGUAAAGGGCGUGCAGGCGGUUUUGUAAGUUUGAUGUGAAGGCGCCCGGCUUAACCGGGCGAGGACAUUGGAGACUGCAAGACUAGAGGCAGAUAGAGGGGUGUAGAAUUCCGGGUGUAGUGGUGAAAUGCGUAGAGAUCCGGAGGAAUACCAGAGGCGAAGGCGGCACCCUGGGUCUGACCUGACGCUGAGACGCGACAGCAUGGGGAGCGAACGGG